UACGAAGGGGGCUAGCGUUGCUCGGAAUUACUGGGCGUAAAGGGAGCGUAGGCGGACAGUUAAGUCAGUGGUGAAAGCCCAGAGCUCAACUCUGGAAUUGCCUUUGAUACUGAUUGUCUUGAGUAUGGGAGAGGUAUGCGAAACUCCGAGUGUAGAGGUGAAAUUCGUAGAUAUUCGGAAGAACACCAGUGGCGAAGGCGGCAUACUGGCCCAUUACUGACGCUGAGGCUCGAAAGCGUGGGGAGCAAACAGG
rnacentral:rRNA from 1 species